CCUACGGGAGGCAGCAGUGGGGGAUAUUGCACAAUGGGGGGAACCCUGAUGCAGCGAAGCCGCGUGGGUGAAGAAGGGCCUCGGCGCGUAAAGCCCUGUCAGCAGGGAAGAAAAUGACGGUACCUGAAGAAGAAGCCCCGGCUAACUACGUGCCAGCAGCCGCGGGAAUACGUAGGGGGCAAGCGUUAUCCGGAUUUACUGGGUGGAAAGGGGGCGCAGACGGCGAUGCAAGCCAGGAGGGAAAGCCCGGGGCCCAACCCCGGUACUGCUCUUGGAACUGCGUGGCUGGAGUGCAGGAGGGGCAGGCGGAAUGCCUGGUGUAGCGGUGAAAUGCGUAGAUAUCAGGAGGAACACCGGUGGCGAAGGCGGCCUGCUGGACUGCAACUGACGUUGAGGCCCGAAAGCGUGGGGAGCAAACAGGAUUAGAUACCCGGGUAGUC
rnacentral:rRNA from 1 species